rnacentral:lncRNA from 10 species
CGCAGACGCGGGCGAGCUGCGGCUCGGACGCCAGCGGACACGCGGGCGAGGGCCUUGGGAACUCCAAGACAGAAUGGCCCGAGGCCUGGACACUCUCUGAGGACAUCUCUGCAAAGGCCCCAGCGGCCCAGGCCAGUGGGAUGCGGGCUGCUGGCCCUGUCCAGACUCUCAUACUGUGGGGCAGGGUUGCAGAGGCCCCUCCCUGGGUUUGCUCUGGGGUGGCAGAGAGCCAUUGUGAGUCAGUUCAGUGUGGUGGGCAGCGCUGUCUUGCAGCCCAAGGAAGCCGUCCUGGAGGAGGGAGCCUGACCCUCCAGCUGGGCUUGAAUGAGGAAGAGGCUAGAUAGAGGCCUGGCAGUGGGGCAGGGGUGGGGACUGUUUGUGAGCAGCCGUGUGGCAGGUAUGAUAGGAAGAAGGACUGGAGGGGUAGACAGGCACUGCCAUCCAUAGCCUGGAAAGUGUCACCAACAGGGCAGGAUUUCAUCCGAGAAGUAACAGGGAGGCUGGGCACAGUAGCUCAGGCCUGUAAUCUCCACGCUUUCAGAGGCUGAGGCAAGAAGAUGGCUUGAGCCCAGGCGCUUGAGACUAGCCUAGGCAACAUAGCGAGACCUCCACCUCUGCAAAAAAAUUUAAAAAAUUAGCCAGGCAUGGUGGCGCACACCAGUAGCCCCAGCUACUAGGGAGGCUGAGAUGGGAGGAUCUGAGCCCAGGAGGUUGAGGCUGCAGGGAGCUGUGAUUGUACCAGCACACUCCAGCCUGGAGGAC